UGAACGCUGGCGGCGUGCUUACCACAUGCAAGUCGAACGGAAAGGCCAGUGCUUGCACUGGUACUCGAGUGGCGAACGGGUGAGUAACACGUGGGUGAUCUGCCCUGCACUUCGGGAUAAGCCUGGGAAACUGGGUCUAAUACCGGAUAGGACAAUGGUUUGGAUGCCGUUGUGGAAAGUUUUUUCGGUGUGGGAUGAGCUCGCGGCCUAUCAGCUUGUUGGUGGGGUAAUGGCCUACCAAGGCGUCGACGGGUAGCCGGCCUGAGAGGGUGUACGGCCACAUUGGGACUGAGAUACGGCCCAGACUCCUACGGGAGGCAGCAGUGGGGAAUAUUGCACAAUGGGCGCAAGCCUGAUGCAGCGACGCCGCGUGGGGGAUGACGGCCUUCGGGUUGUAAACUCCUUUCGCUAGGGACGAAGCGUAUUUGUGACGGUACCUGGAGAAGAAGCACCGGCUAACUACGUG
rnacentral:rRNA from 1 species